rnacentral:lncRNA from 1 species
AGGAGGCCGAGCCCCCUUUGCAUGCCUUGCAAAGAUCGUCCAUCCUUCAAGCUACAACAAAUGAGGUACCUUGGCCUUACUUGACAAAGUUUGCUUCCUUUGAUAAUAUUUUGGUUUCUUCUCAACCCAUGGAGCAACACAAGAAACAUGUGGAGGUUGUGUUGACCAUUUUGGAUGAACACCACUUCCACAUCAAACUUGCAAUACACACCCUCACCCACCCGGAGUUGAAGUG